rnacentral:tRNA from 1 species
AAGAGCUUAAGUUAAAUACCAAACUAUUGACCUUCAAAGUCAAAAACAAGAAUUCUAUACUUAGAUCUUA